AAUACGUAGGGUGCAAGCGUUGUCCGGAAUUACUGGGCGUAAAGAGCUCGUAGGUGGUUUGUCACGUCGUCUGUGAAAUUCCACAGCUUAACUGUGGGCGUGCAGGCGAUACGGGCUGACUUGAGUACUGUAGGGGUAACUGGAAGUCCUGGUGUAGCGGUGAAAUGCGCAGAUAUCAGGAGGAACACCGAUGGCGAAGGCAGGUUACUGGGCAGUUACUGACGCUGAGGAGCG
rnacentral:rRNA from 1 species